UGACGAACAGAAACCACAUAGAGGCCGACGGCUCCAGAUGAGCUGGCUGCUGACAGCGAAAUCGAACCGGAAGAGUGAGCGGAGGUAGAUGUGGCA
rnacentral:autocatalytically_spliced_intron from 1 species